ACAUUUCUCCAGGCUGUUGUCUUUGGUCUCUUCUUAGAAUAUAAGAACCACAUAACCUAAGUGGAAAAGCAUUCAGUCUUCUCUUUUCCAAUGCUAUCCUGCCACUAACCACUGACAGAACCUGCUACUUUGAUCCUUAUGCACAUGUGAAAACACAAAGGAAACAAAGACAAUAAAGGUUAUUUUCUUAAAACAGCUAAUGUUCAGUGCUUUAACUGAUGAUAUCCUCCUCCAGUAUAUCCUAGUGCUGGGAGAUAGUUCAGUAAACACAACAUAAAGCAUAUCUCAAAGGUCCAUUUUAUUUAAAACAAAACAAUCCUGCCCUUCCCUCCCCUCCCAAAAAAAAACACCUCUCCCUUCCUUUCACCUCAAGGCAAUCCAAAGGAUUUUCCAAGGGGAAGGGUCUGUUUAUAUUCGCUGUCUGUCACUUAGACAAGAAGCAGGAGAAGCCAGCAACCUUGAGAAAAAGCAUUUGUUCAAGCUACCAUAAGAUUAACGACCCACUUUGGAGGCAAAAGAAAAUCUCCCCAGAGAAGGGGAAAAAAACUCUGGACAACUCCAAAGCCAGAUUUUCAAACAGUAAUUGACUCCCAAACUAAUCUGUAGGUAGAACAAUUAAAGCAGAGAACAUGGCUGCUUACAAGUCCUACUAAAGAAAGAAAUCCACUCACAAUAAUCUGGAUAGUUUACCUCCUGCACUGAAAGAACACUCGCAACAUGUGUAAUGGGUUUCAAAUGUGAAAUUUUCAUGAAAAGACAACAGAAAACAUCCAUAUGCCUUAAUAGCUUAUUAAAUAAAAACAUGGGGGUUAUUACACACUAUAUUCAAAAGGAAGUAUUUAUUUCAAUAAUUGUUGCUUAGUGUCUCACACCAGAUUCAAGUUAAUCACCUUAAACAUCAAGAAUAUUCAUAGUAGGCCAAGCAGCUCAAGCAGGAUUGAGAACAAUAAUUGAACGUUCACCUCAAACUGCUUUUCCCAAGCAACAUCAUUUGUUGCUCUAGAUCAGUUAAGUAGAGCCCAAUUGUUUUGGGCUAACUUUAACAAUUUCCCCUAUGUAAGGAUGUGACUUAAUUUAAUGUACCAUAUUCUGUACCACAUCAACAAGGAUGAAGUGAAUAGCGGAAAUAAAAUUAUAUUCCUAGCUAUGCUAAAAUUCAAAUUAUUGCACUCAAUAAUUUAGAUUUGGAAAACAUAGCUAAAUAUCAAUAUAAUAUCUAAAAUUACCAAAUUUAUAUCUCUUGUAGAAGUCACCAUUUUAAGAAGUAACAAAAAAAAAAAAAAAAAUCAACAGAUUCCAGCAACUAGAAGUAUCUCUUCUGGCAGAUGGAGAACUUAUGGCCUGUAGUUAGCUAAUACCAAUCCAAUAGUCAAGCAGAGGAAUUCUGGAGUAAGAAAAGAGAACAGGGAGAAAAGCAGUUUUUCUAUAGAGAGAUUUCAGACUUGACAAUGUGACAAGCAUAUAAUUUUUUUAAAUUAUAAUUACAAAUAACUGUAUCAAUAUCCUGCUCCAGUCCUGUAACCAUUUCUCCCAGACUUUCAAUACAACUUUAACUCACACUAAGUAUCAUCUGUUCCACUUUGAUAAUUCAAGUUUGGUUUUUUUGACUUGGUGUUUCUUAUCUGCUUCUGCCUGACAAACUCUUAAGUGAUUCCAAAAUAAAAAAGCCCAAAUGAAACAAACUAGUAUAAGAAAUCGCAAAAUUCAGUCUACAGAAUGAGAUGGAGUUGACACCAAAACUCAUCCCCAUUUCCUUCUUCACUCCUUAACUGCUUCCUUACCAAGUCCCAGAUCUGACAAGAUGUCCAUGCUCUAGAAAGCAAGGUAGAUUUAGAAAGAGAAGGAGGAAGAGGAGUUUUUACCAGGAUGAAAAAGCAGAAAAAACAAAACUAACAAAGAUGAGUACAAGUACAAUUACAUGUAGCCAGCGCAAAAAGACAUUUGGGGAUACUUAGCAUCACUCUGAUGUCUUCGUGCUCUUCAGUGAUUAACAGAUUGCAAGAGAGAGUAUCUGCUUUUUCCAAGUUCACUGGGCUGAGCUGAUGAAAUACCUGAAGACAUUCAUAACUUCUGACCUCAGCUGAAAGGUUGGUCAUAAUAACAUAAGACCUAUCAUAUCUGGUCAUAAUUUAAAUAAAAAUAAGUGGAGUCUUCUGAGACAUAACUUGACAGUCAAGGAACAAAAAAACUACUUACAAGAAGAACACAACAAACCACAGAAACACCACCAACAAAAACCACAAAAAACUCCCAUAAACCUAACCUGAUAUUAAUAAUGUGUAGGCAUAUCAUUACAAGUAUUAAAAACAGGACUUCAGAAAUAACUUUUGAAAUUUUACAAAUACCAUGCUCCAGACAUAUUCUAUCUCUAGGCCCCUGGUACCAUACCUAUGCAGCUCAACAGCACUUGCAUCCCCUUUUAUGCACUUACUUAAUGUCUCUGAUUUCUAUUAAAAUCAGAAAGUUUAAGAGAACUAGAUGUUACUGAAAAUCAGAGCUGUGCCAGCAGUUUCCAGUGAUGACCUGACAUGACAGGAAGAAAAUUGUUAAGGAAAAUCACUAGCUUACAUGUUAUUGUAGCACUAUUCAAAUUUUGUAAAUUAAGCAUGAACAACUGGAGAGGAGGAGAGCCCAGACGGUGUUCCAUAAGAGAAUUUGGAGGAUCAUUUUAGACAUAAAAACUAAAAAAGUUAUAAUGCAACUUCAAAAAAAUGAUAAUAUGGUGGAGGAAGCUGUAAAACAAAGUCACAGCUGAUUGGAUUCUUUCCUGGAUUUCUACUCUCAAUAAAUCUGCAUAAAAAUCUUUUUUUUUUCUUUAUUGCAAGGAACAAAAUUCAACUUGUGUUUCAAGAGCCAUGCUGAAAACCCCUCCACAUUUUAUUUAGCACCACAACCAGCAGCAAAGAGCUCCACUGGUCGAACACAGCCCUACAGUAAACUUAUACUACUAUAGCCUUACUGGUGUCCUCCUCAGUAACACUUAUCCAUGCCCAUUAUAUUUUUCUAAAUUCUUUUGCAUGGAAUGUACAAAAAUUUUUUAAAUUUUUGUAAUUUUUUUAAUAGUUAACAAACACUACUGCCUCCAAAAAAAACAGAAAAACACUCAAGAAAAAAAAAAUUAAAAAAAAAAAACCAGCAAACCAUUCUUCAUGAUGACCAAGUGGAAUUUGGUUUUGUUUCCCUUAGGCUAUAUUUAGUGGGCAGCAGAAAAUAAACAAAAACUCAACUACCCUAAAACAAUACUCUCUGAUGGCAAACAAAAGGUGUGUCUAAGUACCCCCAGAAAGGUGUUUUAACGGGUUAAUGAGUUUCUCUUUUUACGGGGUAGUACAAAAACUUGUCACAGCAGACUAAAAUACUAAGAACAUUUGGUUAUUUUAGAAUAAACCUAGUUUCAAACAGAAAGGUUAAUCAAAAAAGAAUUUAUAUAUGUCUAACAUAAUUACUUUUAAAAAUAAUGACUUUUGGUUUUAUUAAAAGGAGAUAGGAUACUGAACUCAGUGAAGAGUCACCUUCAAAUGGUAACAUAGUGCAAAGAACCAUCUUCCCAUACUGAAAGAGUCAUGAGCUAUUUCACAUUUUAAUUUGUAUAAACUAACUGGUGUCAGUCAAGCCGAGUCGCAACAAGCUUGCAAAGACCUGAAGUGCCUGUAGGUACUUGGAAACACAGCUCAUUGCUUUGGAGCUCACAAAAUGCUAUGAGAGACACUCUGUGGUUUGCCAUGACGAUGAACAUAGCACAUGGCAAGAC
ensembl:lncRNA